AGCCUACUCUAGCCCGAUUACCACAUCAUCCAUAAAACUAAAAGAAUCAACUCAAACAAUAAACCAAAACAUUCUCCUGUCUAAGUAUAGGCGAUAGAAAAGACACUAGGAGCAAUAGAUUUGUAGUACCGCAAGGGAAAGCUGAAAUAACAAUGAAAAACUUAAGCAAUAGACAGCAAAGAUAAACCCUUGUACCUUUUGCAUCAUGAUCUAGCAAGAACAACCAAGCAAAAUGAAAUUUUAGCUUGCCACCCCGAAACCCAAGCGAGCUACUCUCAAGCAGCUAUACCUGAGCAAACCCGUCUCUGUGGCAAAAGAGUGGGAAGACUUGUUAGUAGAGGUGAAAAGCCAACCGAGCUGGGUGAUAGCUGGUUGCCCGUGAAACGAAUAUAAGUUCACCCUUAAUUUUACCCCCCAGACCUAAUCACUUACUCGUAGAAAUUAAGAGUAAUUUAAAGGAGGUACAGCUCCUUUAAAACAGGAUACAACCUCCUCCAGAGGAUAAGCAGAAUACCCUUAAACUUGUAGGCCUUUAAGCAGCCACCAACAGAGAAUGCGUCAAAGCUCCGCACUAAAAAAAUCCAAGAAUUCGUGCGACUCCCUCCCCCUUAACGGGCUAACCUAUCAAAAAUAGGAGCAUUAAUGCUAGAAUAAGUAACUAAGGAACCCCCUUCUAAAGCACAAACUUAAAUCCAACAUUAUUAACAGGUCCACUAAUAGCCCAACCAUCACAAGACCAACUAUCCAAUGCCCUGUUAAGCCGACCCAGGAGUGCCAAACUAGAAAGAUUCAAACCUGUAAAAGGAACUAGGCAAACCCAAGGCCCGACUGUUUACCAAAAACAUAGCCUUCAGCAAAAAUAUCAAGUAUUGAAGGUGAUGCCUGCCCAGUGACACCACUAAGUUUAACGGCCGCGGUAUCCUAACCGUGCAAAGGUAGCGCAAUCAAUUGUCCCAUAAAUCGAGACUUGUAUGAAUGGCCAAACGAGGUCUUAACUGUCUCUUACAGGUAAUCAGUGAAAUUGAUCUCCCCGUACAAAAGCGGGGAUAAGCUCAUAAGACGAGAAGACCCUGUGGAACUUAAAAACCAGCAGUCACUCUACAAAUAACAUAAACCUACCAGGCCCACUACCAACAUAUAAUUGACUCGCACUUUUUCGGUUGGGGCGACCUUGGAGAAAAACGUAUCCUCCAAAAAUAAGACCACCCCUCUUAACCAAGAUCAACCACUCAAAGUACUAACAGUAACCAGACCCAGCAUAGCUGAGUAAUGAACCAAGCUACCCCAGGGAUAACAGCGCAAUCUCCUUCAAGAGCCCAUAUCGACAAGGAGGUUUACGACCUCGAUGUUGGAUCAGGACAUCCUAAUGGUGCAGCCGCUAUUAAGGGUUCGUUUGUUCAACGAUUAACUAGUCCUACGUGAUCUGAGUUCAGACCGGAGCAAUCCAGGUCGGUUUCUAUCUAUGAUUUGAACCUUUCCCAGUACGAAAGGACCGGAAAAGUAAGGCCAAUACCUCAAGCACGCCUUCCCUAAAAGUAAUGAACACAUCUAAAUUACCAAGAGGACAACCCCCCCGUCCUAAAAACAAGGACA
rnacentral:rRNA from 1 species